rnacentral:rRNA from 1 species
GAACGGGUGAGUAACACGUGGGCAAUCUGCCCUUCACUCUGGGACAAGCCCUGGAAACGGGGUCUAAUACCGGAUAUCACUUCCACUCGCAUGGGUGGGGGUUGAAAGCUCCGGCGGUGAAGGAUGAGCCCGCGGCCUAUCAGCUUGUUGGUGAGGUAAUGGCUCACCAAGGCGACGACGGGUAGCCGGCCUGAGAGGGCGACCGGCCACACUGGGACUGAGACACGGCCCAGACUCCUACGGGAGGCAGCAGUGGGGAAUAUUGCACAAUGGGCGAAAGCCUGAUGCAGCGACGCCGCGUGAGGGAUGACGGCCUUCGGGUUGUAAACCUCUUUCAGCAGGGAAGAAGCGAAAGUGACGGUACCUGCAGAAGAAGCGCCGGCUAACUACGUGCCAGCAGCCGCGGUAAUACGUAGGGCGCAAGCGUUGUCCGGAAUUAUUGGGCGUAAAGAGCUCGUAGGCGGCUUGUCACGUCGGGUGUGAAAGCCCGGGGCUUAACCCCGGGUCUGCAUUCGAUACGGGCUAGCUAGAGUGUGGUAGGGGAGAUCGGAAUUCCUGGUGUAGCGGUGAAAUGCGCAGAUAUCAGGAGGAACACCGGUGGCGAAGGCGGAUCUCUGGGCCAUUACUGACGCUGAGGAGCG